UCCUACGGGAGGCAGCAGUGGGGAAUAUUGGACAAUGGGCGAAAGCCUGAUCCAGCAAUGCCGCGUGAGUGAUGAAGGCCUUAGGGUUGUAAAGCUCUUUUACCAGGGAUGAUAAUGACAGUACCUGGAGAAUAAGCUCCGGCUAACUCCGUGCCAGCAGCCGCGGUAAU
rnacentral:rRNA from 2 species